AGCAGCCGCGGUAAUUCCAGCUCCAAUAGCGUAUAUUAAAGUUGUUGCAGUUAAAAAGCUCGUAGUUGAAUUUCGGAAUUUGUCGGUUGGUCGGGCUUCACUGUCCGCACUGACCUGAUGGAUUCCUACCUUCUGAAUAACCAGCAUGCUAUUAAGUUAGUGCGUUGGGGAAGCAGAGCUAUUACCUUGAAAAAUUAGAGUGCUUAAAGCAGGCUUGUGCUUGAAUAGAUUAGCAUGGAAUAAUAAAAUAGGACGGCAUGGUUCUAUUUUGUUGGUUUCUAGGAUCACCGUAAUGAUUAAUAGGGAUAGUUGGGGGCAUUAGUAUUCAAUUGUCAGAGGUGAAAUUCUUGGAUUUAUUGAAGACUAACUUCUGCGAAAGCAUUUGCCAAGGAUGUUUUCAUUAAUCAAGAACGAAAGUUAGGGGAUCGAAGACGAUCAGAUACCGUCGUA
rnacentral:rRNA from 1 species